rnacentral:lncRNA from 1 species
CUGUGUGCAGAGACGUUCGCCUCUACCUCUGGCAAGGCCAGCUCUCUGAGAACUGAGCGCCCUUAGAGUCUGCACCGGUGCUGCAUCUGUGGACUGAGAUGCCAAGACGUCUCCGCCCGGACUGGCAGAAAGUGGGCGUCGCAGAGUGUGUGCGGCUCGAGAACUGCGCCUGAGAUUAGCCCAGAGAAACAAUCCCCGCAGCUCUCGGGAGUCCGGAGCAACCGCGAGCUCCGCCUCCUCCUCCUCCUCGGUGGGCACUAUCAGAUCUCUCAACCAGUUUUGGCAUCUAAGGGAAAUGGAUGCCAGCCUAGGACCAUCGUCGCGUGUGACCUGCAUUUUAGUGCUUGAAAGGAGCAAUAGUAUAUUUUUGAAAACUGGGUGCGGAAGGAGAAAGAUGUCACUGAAGAGCGGACUGUGUGCGCACCAGCCCCUGGGAAGGCUCAGGAACCCUCCGGCCCGGGCGUGGGUGACCUUACUAACCAUCAUCUGCAAACUUCAAGGUGUUUAACUUCUGUCAUUGCCAGAGCCGCCCUAUGUAUGAAGAAGGCAGUGUGUAGAGUGGAUGUUGUACAGGUAGCUGUCCCUCAAGUCCAAGUGCAUGUAUGAUGUAGUCAGAAAGAGCCGCGGAUGAGCCUGGGCAUGGUAUCCCAUGAUUGUAAUCCCUGCAGUGGGGAGACUGGAGGCAGGAGGAUCUAGAUGAAAUUCAAGGCCGGCUUCAGCUACUGGAGAUGAGACCCUGUCUCAAAAAACAAAACAAACAAAAAAUGGAUAGUGGCCUCAUGUGGCAAGUAUCUUGAACCCAGCACUUGGGAGGCAGAGGCAAGUGCAUCUCAGUGACUUCAGAGCCACCCUGUUUCUAAUCGAGUUCCAGGUCAGCCAAAACCACAUAGUGAGACCCUGUUUAAAAUAAAAUGAAAUAAAAAUUGGUUAGGGCUGGG